CAGCAGCCGCGGUAAUACAGAGGGUGCGAGCGUUAAUCGGAUUUACUGGGCGUAAAGCGUGCGUAGGCGGCUUCUUAAGUCGGAUGUGAAAUCCCUGAGCUUAACUUAGGAAUUGCAUUCGAUACUGGGAAGCUAGAGUAUGGGAGAGGAUGGUAGAAUUACAGGUGUAGCGGUGAAAUGCGUAGAGAUCUGGAGGAAUACCGAUGGCGAAGGCAGCCAUCUGGCCUAAUACUGACGCUGAGGUACGAAAGCAUGGGGAGCAAACAGGAUUAGAUACCCCCGUAGUCCCUGUCUCUUAUAC
rnacentral:rRNA from 1 species